rnacentral:tRNA from 1 species
GUGGUGCAAAUGAUUAGCAUGCUUGGCUGCUAACCUAAAGUUGGUGGUUCGAGUCCACCC